UGGGGAAUUUUGGACAAUGGGCGCAAGCCUGAUCCAGCCAUGCCGCGUGAGUGAAGAAGGCCUUCGGGUUGUAAAGCUCUUUCGGACGGGAAGAAAUGGCGGGCUCUAACAUAGCCUGUCGAUGACGGUACCGUAAGAAGAAGCACCGGCUAACUACGUGCCAGCAGCCGCGGUAAUACGUAGGGGGCAAGCGUUGUCCGGAUUUACUGGGUGUAAAGGGUGCUCAGGCGGAUUUGUAAGUCAGAGGUGAAAUCUUACAGCUUAACUGUGAAACUGCCUUUGAUACUGCAAGCCUAGAGUAUGGAAGAGAGUGAUGGAAUAUCUGGUGUAGCAGUGAAAUGCGUAGAUAUCAGAUAGAACACCAAUGGCGAAGGCAGUCACUUGGUCCAUUACUGACGCUAAAGCACGAAAGCGUGGGUAGCAAACA
rnacentral:rRNA from 1 species